UACGGAGGGAGCUAGCGUUAUUCGGAAUUACUGGGCGUAAAGCGUACGUAGGCGGCUUUGUAAGUUAGAGGUGAAAGCCUGGAGCUCAACUCCAGAACUGCCUUUAAAACUGCAUCGCUUGAAUCCAGGAGAGGUGAGUGGAAUUCCGAGUGUAGAGGUGAAAUUCGUAGAUAUUCGGAAGAACACCAGUGGCGAAGGCGGCUCACUGGACUGGUAUUGACGCUGAGGUACGAAAGCGUGGGGAGCAA
rnacentral:rRNA from 1 species